GACGAACGCUGGCGGCGUGCUUAACACAUGCAAGUCGAACGGAAAGGCCCUGCUUUUGUGGGGUGCACGAGUGGCGAACGGGUGAGUAACACGUGAGUAACAUGCCCUUGACUGUGGGAUAACUUCAGGAAAAAGGGGCGAAUACAGGAUAGGAGCUCCUGCUGCAUGGGGGGGGUUGGAAAGUGUCGGCGGUUGGGGCUGGACUCGCGGCUUAUCAGCUUGAUGGGGGGGUAGUGGCUUACCAAGGCUUUGACGGGUAGCCGGCCUGAGAGGGUGACCGGCCACAUUGGGACUGAGGUACGGCCCAGACUCCUACGGGCGGCAGCGGGGGGGAACAUUGCAGAAUGGGCGGAAGCCUGAUGCAGCAACGCCGCGUGCGGGAUGACGGCCUUCGGGUUGUAAACCACUUUCGCCUGUGCCGAAGCGUGAGUGACGGUAAUGGGUAAAGAAGCACCGGCUAACUACGUG
rnacentral:rRNA from 1 species